CCCCGCUGGGGCCCCCGGCCCUGGCACCCGGGAGGGGGCACAGCCUCAGGGUGGGGCCCCAGGGCAAGGUGCCCAGAUCCAGCGCAGGGCUUGGCUGGCCCCCCGUGCUCCCCAUCUCUGGUUUCCAGCCCUGCUGCACGGUGACAUUAUCUCCAGGCGGGGUCCCGGCACGGCCCCGUGCGAGUUCUGCAGCAGCUCCCCAGGGAAGGUGCACACUUGGGGCUCUCGGGUUCUCCCUCUGAAUGCACCGGUUUCUCCUUCUCCUCUCCUUGCAGGACCUGCCAGGCUUUGGGCUCUCCCUUUGUUUCCCAUCAGCUCUCCAGGACUUUGACUGACUCCAGGAUGACACUGCUGAAACCACAGCAAGACCUUGCAGCCAAGAGGGAGCUCCUGUCCCAAAGAACCCCUUGGCAAAGGAGGGGCUCGGCCAAAGGACCCUGGCCAGCCUGGGGGUGACGCUGUGCCCCAGCCUUCUGCAAUCAACACUUGGUGUUCUGUGGAAUCACAGAGUCCCAGGCUGCUUUGGGCUGGAAGGGACCUCAAAUCUCAUCCACGCCCAUCGCCUGCCACAGGCAGGAGCACCUCCCACUAGCCCAGCUUUGUUCCAAGUCCCAUCCACCCGAGUCUUGGUGGUUGUGUCUGUUCUGAUCUGCCUUCGCUAAUCUAAGAAUGACAAUGACCAAAAAAACCCCAAGCCAGCAAAGGCCCACAUGCAGGAAGUGACAAGCCAUGGCCCCAGUCUCCAUCACUCCUCCCUCUGCACAUUUUUGUAGUUCUACUCCACUCACUCUGUGAAUGUCUUAAAGCAUUAAACCAAGCAAUGUUACCUGA